UAAUACGAUGGGCUGAUGGUCUUGGUU
rnacentral:sRNA from 1 species